rnacentral:rRNA from 1 species
GACGUAGGGCGCGAGCGUUGUCCGGAUUUAUUGGGCGUAAAGAGCUCGUAGGCGGCUUGUUGCGUCGGCUGUGAAAACCCAUGGCUCAACCGUGGGCUUGCAGCCGAUACGGGCAGGCUAGAGUUCGGUAGGGGAGACUGGAAUUCCUGGUGUAGCGGUGAAAUGCGCAGAUAUCAGGAGGAACACCGGUGGCGAAGGCGGCAUCCUGGACCGGCAUUGACGCUGAGGCGCGAAAGCCAGGGGAGCAAACGGG